UAAAUCAUACUUUUUAAAUCAGAUGUCAUCCACCUGAUUUAACAACAUGAAAAUUGUGGACACGGAAGGGGAAUUUGUAAGAGAAUUACAAUUAAAUCGGUUAACCUGAUUUAAAAAGAAUUUCAUAAUAAUUAAAUUAAAUUAAAUGCAAAAACACUCUCAAGUUUCAAUACAGUGAAAACCCUAAACUUUCUGCACAGUGACUUUGUCUCUGCGACGACGAAGAACCGUAAACCUCUCUCUCUCUCUCUGUGAAACCCUUUCUCCACUGCCGCUUUCAGGUUCACAUUUCCAUUCCCUCUCUCUCUUUGCGAAACCCUUUCUCCACCACCGCUUCAAUUUCAGAUUCUCCAUCGCCGCUUCAGUUUCAGAUCUAAGUUUUCAAGGGUCUCUUCGCUGCAGCCGUCGUCAUCUUCGCAUUCAGUCAGUCGCUACACAUGGAUGAUCCAUCAGCUCCUUCACUAAGUGAGAAUGAUAUUCAGCCUACAAAAAAGAGGUGUAGACGUAGCACACGAAUGAAAUAGAUGAGUUUACAUUGCAAUGGUGUAAAGACACCAGUUGAUUUCGAUCAAAGUAAUAUUGUUCCUAACAACUUCAGAAUUUGGAGAAAAAAUGAGGCAGAUUAUUGUGACAAAGUGCCUUAGUGGUAAAAUUUCAAUGUUGAAUCUUUCCAGGUAUGAACAUUCAAUUCUUCUAAUAUUUGUCUAUAAUUUCUUGCAUUUUGAACCAAGUUUUCAUUGGGGUGGCAGGGUAGUGCAAGCUUGAUCAUGUUAUGUUAAUCGUAGUCCUUGUAGAAUGAGGUGAAGACAACUAGUAACUAAAUGUUUUUGAGACCUACGUGUGAUUAUGUUUUUGAGAGUUUUCAAUUAUGUGUAGUGGGGCGGUGCCUUUUGUUAGUGAGGAGGCAGUAAGUUUGUUGGCUUAUGGUGGAUUUAGUUUCUAUUCUUUUGCUGAUAUUUUGUUAGUGGCCUUGAGUUUCUCUUCCCUGCAAUAUUAUGCAGGUUGUAACUUUUUAUCUAGUGAGUUCUUGUACUCAUAGAAUAAUUAUCUAAUAUAGUUUGCUGUUUCGAAAAAUAAAAAAAAGAUGACUAGUAACUAUUCCUUACACUGAUUAUUUUGGAAUUUUUCUAUGUGUGGGUUUAAAUAAUACUGAAUGUUGUAUUGAAAAGUGUGAAUGUGUUGAUUAUUUCAAUCGAGUAUUAUUGAUUUGGUUUGCUGCCAAUUAUAGAUAAAACAUCUUCUGCUUAUUGCUGACCUCAAAACGACAAAAUCUCCCGGUCAGUCUAAAAGAAUAUUACACUAUUUAAUUCUAGAGAUAUUAGGUAGAAAUUGUAGAAUGAUACAUGAUACUAUUGUAAUUAGUUAUGGUCUUUGAGAUUUUGAAGUCUGAAGGAGAGAAUGAUUUGUCCUGCAUUCACUUACAAGUAAUUUAAUACAUCAAUGCUAUUUAUGUUCUCCUAUGUAAAUAUACAAUUUAAAAAAAAUGGGUGUGAUUGUUCAUAUUAACUUUUGUAUAUAAAAGGAAUUCAAAAUGACCAUCAGCAUAUGCAAUUCCUUGACAGCUUUGUGAUUCUAGGCUUUAUUUUCUCAAAGUUGUCCAUUUUAUUAUGCUUAUAUGUUCAGCUGA